rnacentral:lncRNA from 1 species
AGCCGGCGUUGUCCGUAGACACCUCCAAGGUCACAUGGCUGGCAUGACUGCAUGGAGCGCCAUUACCUUCCCGCCGGAGUGGUACCUAUUGAUCUACUCACAUUUGCAUGUUUUUGAACUGCUAGGUUGGCAGAAGCUGGAGCAACAGCGGGGGCUCACUCUGCUCCCGGGAUUUGAACCUGGGACCUUUUGGUCUGCAAGUUCAGCAGCUCAGUGCUUUAACACACUUCGCCACCGGGGCUCCAUGUCUACUAUGUUACUUACCAUAAAAACUAGGACUUCAAUCUUUCUCAACAGAUCAAUCAAUAGCGUAAUCCUUUGGUGGGAUGUAGUGUAGGACUGAAAGCUAGAGCAAACAUUUUAACAUCAUCUUUUACUCUUACUGUAAUAUAAAGAAUUUUUUAAAAGUAUGGCAAGUUGUGCUUGUUAAGUGAACAUAGUGAGAGAUGGAAACUGUGGUGUCACUGCAUCAUCCCACUUCUUUUUCAGUUAUGAAUGGCUUCAGUACGUCAUUAUAUUCCUUUUUUCUUCUUCAAACAGUGUGAUGCCUUCCCUGUCUCUCAGAUGGUCAAAUCUUAAUGAGUUCAACAUUUUUCUAUAAAUUUUAUGGAACUUUCUGUUUGAAUAAAUGAAUUUUCUAUGAGCAAAAGUGCCAAAAUGUUAAAAAGCAGUAUCUAUAUAGCACAAACAAAACAGUAUAAUACAUGGAAGGCAUGUAUUUUGAAUUGUUGAUGGAGAUCUCAAGGUAUAACUUUGACUAAUGGGAUAAACCAUUGCAUCUUUUGGUGGGGGCUAUACAAUUUGGUUAAUUAGAAUGUUUUGUGGUUUGUUAUGCCUCUUCCCUAUCCCUGUGUAUGUGUACAAACACAUAUUUAAGAUUCUAUGUCUCUGGCAGGACCCAUUGUUUUUGCUUGUUUUAAUGUAAAACACUUUACUAUGGUAAAGUACACUUGAUGGGAUAUAUAAAUAAAUGAUGGUGGUGCUGUUGAUGUUAAUUAAUUGUUUAGAUUGUAAGCCUGAGAGGAGCUGUCUUGCUCCUCCUCCUCCUCUUCCUCCUCCUUUUCUUGAUGGAUACAUAAGCAUAAGCAGUUUUGAUAUCCAUUCUGUUGUAGGGCAAGGUAUCAUUGCUAUGAGGGAAGGAGGGAGGGAAGAGGAGGAGGAAGCAUCUGUCACCACUGCUCCUUCACUCUCCCGCCCUCCCUCCCUCACUCACUCACUCGCCAGGCGGGUCCUGGUGCUGCUGCUGUCACUGCUGGGACCCGGCCUUUUGAGUGAGUGAGUGAAUGAGCGAGAGAGGGCCUUUGCCACUCCCUUUCACUUG